UACGUAGGGGGCAAGCGUUGUCCGGAUUUAUUGGGCGUAAAGAGCGUGUAGGCGGCCAGGUAGGUCUGCUGUGAAAACUCGAGGCUCAACCUCGAGACGUCGGCGGAAACCAUCUGGCUAGAGUCCGGAAGAAGAGAGUGGAAUUCCUGGUGUAGCGGUGAAAUGCGCAGAUAUCAGGAAGAACACCCGUGGCGAAGGCGGCUCUCUGGGACGGUACUGACGCUGAGACGCGAAAGCGUGGGGAGCGAACAGG
rnacentral:rRNA from 1 species